rnacentral:rRNA from 1 species
AGUGAACGCUGGCGGUAGGCCUAACACAUGCAAGUCGAACGGCAGCACAGUAAGAGCUCGCUCUUACGGGUGGCGAGUGGCGGACGGGUGAGGCAUACAUCGGAAUCCACUUUUUCGUGGGGGAUAACGUAGGGAAACUUACGCUAAUACCGCAUAUGACCUACGGGUGAAAGCAGUGGAUCUUCGGACCUUGCGCGACUGAAUGAGCCGAUGUCGGAUUAGCUAGUUGGCGGGGUAAAGGCCCACCAAGGCGACGAUCCGUAGCGGGUCUGAGAGGAUGAUCAGCCACACUGGAACUGAGACACGGUCCAGACUCCUACGGGAGGCAGCAGUGGGGAAUAUUGGACAAUGGGCGCAAGCCUGAUCCAGCCAUGCCGCGUGAGUGAAGAAGGCCUUCGGGUCGUAAAGCCCUUUUGUUGGGAAAGAAAAGCUGCGGGUUAAUCCCCCGCUGUUCUGACGGUACCCAAAGAAUAAGCACCGGCUAACUUCGUG